rnacentral:rRNA from 1 species
CUAGUAUAAGCACUUAUACCGUGAAACUGCGAAUGGCUCAUUAAAUCAGUUAUCGUUUAUUUGAUAGUACCUUACUACUUGGAUAACCGUGGUAAUUCUAGAGCUAAUACAUGCUAAAAACCCCGACUUCGGGAGGGGUGUAUUUAUUAGAUAAAAAACCAAUGCCCUUCGGGGCUCUUUGGUGAUUCAUGAUAACUUAACGGAUCGCAUGGCCUUGCGCCGGCGACGGUUCAUUCAAAUUUCUGCCCUAUCAACUUUCGAUGGUAAGGUAUUGGCUUACCAUGGUUUCAACGGGUAACGGGGAAUUAGGGUUCGAUUCCGGAGAGGGAGCCUGAGAAACGGCUACCACAUCCAAGGAAGGCAGCAGGCGCGCAAAUUACCCAAUCCCGACACGGGGAGGUAGUGACAAUAAAUACUGAUACAGGGCUCUUUUGGGUCUUGUAAUUGGAAUGAGUACAAUUUAAACCCCUUAACGAGGAACAAUUGGAGGGCAAGUCUGGUGCCAGCAGCCGCGGUAAUUCCAGCUCCAAUAGCGUAUAUUAAAGUUGUUGCAGUUAAAAAGCUCGUAGUUGAACCUUGGGCCUGGCUGGCCGGUCCGCCUCACCGCGUGCACUGGUCCGGCCGGGCCUUUCCUUCUGGAGAGCCCCAUGCCCUUCACUGGGUGUGCGGGGGAACCAGGACUUUUACUUUGAAAAAAUUAGAGUGUUCAAAGCAGGCCUUUGCUCGAAUACAUUAGCAUGGAAUAAUAAAAUAGGACGUGCGGUCCUAUUUUGUUGGUUUCUAGGACCGCCGUAAUGAUUAAUAGGGAUAGUCGGGGGCAUCCGUAUUCAAUUGUCAGAGGUGAAAUUCUUGGAUUUAUUGAAGACGAACUACUGCGAAAGCAUUUGCCAAGGAUGUUUUCAUUAAUCAGUGAACGAAAGUUAGGGGAUCGAAGACGAUCAGAUACCGUCGUAGUCUUAACCGUAAACUAUGCCGACUAGGGAUCGGGCGAUGUUACUAUUUUGACUCGCUCGGCACCUUACGAGAAAUCAAAGUUUUUGGGUCUGGGGGAGUAGU